AUCCGCCGCUCUGCGACAGGUUCCCCGAAAGGGGAUCAAAAGGGAACGGGGUGCGAAACCCCGGCUGCCCCUGCAACUGUAAGCGGCGAGCCGACCGGCCAUCACGCCAUUGGGACUUCACCGUCCUGAGAAGGCGGCCGGACCAGCAUUGACCCGCGAGCCAGGAGACCUGCCUGACGCGGUCGUUCUUC
rnacentral:ncRNA from 2 species